rnacentral:rRNA from 1 species
UACGGAGGGGGCAAGCGUUAUUCGGAAUUAUUGGGCGUAAAGGGCGCGUAGGCGGCUAGAUGUGUCAAAGGUGAAAUCCCUCGGCUCAACUGAGGAACUGCCUUUGAAACUGUCUGGCUUGAGGCCGGGAGAGGGUAGCGGAAUUCCCAGUGUAGCGGUGAAAUGCGUAGAUAUUGGGAGGAACACCAGUGGCGAAGGCGGCUACCUGGACCGGUUCUGACGCUGAGGCGCGGAAGCGUGGGUAGCAAACAGG